GUUUCGACCCCGUUUGGUCACCGAAAACUGUGCCGAACUGUAAUCUUAAUCAGAUAACUGUCGGAUUUUAUUUCUCACUCUACGGGUAUCAGAAUGGUAUGAAACUUUAAAUUUAGCCUCAUAAAAAUAUUUCUGACAUAUCCUCCAGUUUUCAUAAUUUUCUGACACUGUGCAUUUUCUGCUAAUUUAUCUGCCCCGUUUCUCACAGAAAAUUCUAAAUCUUUUGUUUUCGCUCCGAUUUCAGCACAGGUCAUUUUCAAUCUAUAUUUCACUUCUCUAAACUCAAUAAAAUAGUAUCUCAUACUAUUUUUAUUUAUUUUCACCUUUAUACUUAAAAUCUGGUAUGUUACAUUCCACCGCAAUCUCACCGGAACCAUUUAAAUAUACACCGUAACUUCAUAGUUUUAGAAGUCCGGUACCUUACACCGACACUCCGGAGAUAGCCAUCGCGACACAUGCUCGCCCGUGCGGGAUUGAGCACCGAAAUGGGAUGCCGUGGGGAAGGCUCAUUGUCACGCCCUGGGGCCGAUCCAAUUUGGCCGGUCCGGGCACGUCGAACAGACGCCGAACGGACAGAGUCUCUCUUGUCCGCCCAAGGCUCAACACAUAUACAAUUCAAACAAAGAAAAAUGCACAAGCAGAAACAUACAUAAUGGCUUACACGAAGGUAAGCAAUAGCCAGAGUGAAAGAAUACUAAACUAUACAACUUGUAAGUAGAAUGAUUAACUUUUAACCAUUUACAAGCAUUCAACUCUCACAUUCAUGAUUCAUUUACCAUAUACAUUGCUUUUCAUCAUUUCUUUUUACAUCACAUUUUCUUCAAAAUAAAUAGCUUACAUUCAUUUCUUUAACAUCUCUAAUCAUCAAAUACAAAAGAUGAUGUACAGUU
rnacentral:lncRNA from 1 species